UUACAAUUUCGGAAUUUAAGACACCCGAUUGAAAAAAUCGUAUUAAUCACAAACAAAUCGCAAGUGCUGGCUGCUGAAAACUGGCGGCAUAUGUGUUGCACACACGUCCAAACAUUACAACUUGUGGCAGGCAGCCGCAUGGA